GACGUAGGGUGCGAGCGUUGUCCGGAUUUACUGGGCGUAAAGAGCUCGUAGGUGGUUUGUCGCGUUGUUCGUGAAAACUCACAGCUUAACUGUGGGCGUGCGGGCGAUACGGGCAGACUGGAGUACUGCAGGGGAGACUGGAAUUCCUGGUGUAGCGGUGGAAUGCGCAGAUAUCAGGAGGAACACCCGGUGGCGAAGGCGGGUCUCUGGGCAGUAACUGACGCUGGAGGAGCGAAAAGCGUGGGGAGCGAACAGG
rnacentral:rRNA from 1 species